ACCGUGUUCUCUUUUCGACUCCCUCUGCAUAUUUGCAAACAAAUGGCAGAAUUUUCUCCAUCUCCUAAAAUUGUUAUUCGUAUUUACAGAUAGCAUCCAAGUUUGUUUUAAGGCACAUGAAAGUUCACAUGUUCCAGAAGGCAUUUCUGCCUAAAUGCAUUUUGAUUCAUUAUUAUUUUUUUAUCCGUUCAAAUGCCUCUCCUGUGAAGUAGUGGCGUGAGACAUACGCCUAGCUUCCUGAAACGGGUCACAUAUGCCCAUUCCACCCUAUCGAACGCUUUUUCAGCAUCUAAUGAUUCUGCCACUUUUGGAACAUUUCAAAUUCCUGGGCAGCAAUCUUUGCAGAGGGGUUUAUUAUGUUAUAUUCAAGUUUCAAAGUGUUCAACUGUUGAAUGGUGUCAAUGUUUCUAUCUGUUUUAUUUCUAAGUUGUGGAUUUUCUUUAAUAGUAUUUCACAUUUUCUAUUGGUCUUAUGUGAAGAGUAAAACAAAAUUAUUCUAGCAAACUUGGUGUUGGAGUCGUGCAUGGCCACACAGUCGUGGGUGAACAGGGAGUACAGAUGGGGACUAAGCACACACCCCCGAGGGCCCCUGUUUUUAUGGUCAGCAUGGUGGAUGUGUUGCCUACCGGCUACUGAAGGCUACACUCAGACAAGGCUGGUGGUCUGCUGUUGGCCACCCAUCUCUGUGUGAUUGAGAUAUGUGUGGUACAGUAUCUGCCGAUUUUAUAUCGUUUUUUUUUUUUUAGGUAAUGAAAAACAUUUUUUUUUAUACAAAUUGUGCUCCAAAGGAUUAAUAGACCCUAAAUUAUGAUUUCUUAACUACACUAAACAAAAAUAUAAAUGCAACAUGUAAAGUGUUGUUCCCAUGUUUCAUGAGUUGAAAUAAAAGAUCCCAG
rnacentral:lncRNA from 1 species